AGGGGAAUAGUUCAGUUGGUAGAACGUCGGAUUCCAAAUCCGGUUGUCGUGGGUUCAAGUCCUGCUUCCCCUG
rnacentral:tRNA from 1 species